UCUCCGUUGGUGAACCAGCGGAGGGAUCAUUACCGAGUUUACAACCCCCAAACCCCUGUGAACAUACCAUUUGUUGCGUCGGCGGUGCCUGCUUCGGCAGCCCGCCAGAGGACCCAAACCCUUGAUUUUAUACAGUAUCUUCUGAGUAAAUGAUUAAAUAAAUCAAAACUUUCAACAACGGAUCUCUUGGUUCUG
rnacentral:misc_RNA from 1 species